UACAGAGGUCUCAAGCGUUGUUCGGAUUCAUUGGGCGUAAAGGGUGUGUAGGUGGCGCGCUAAGUCGGGUGUGAAAUUUCGGAGCUUAACUCCGAAACUGCAUUCGAUACUGGCGUGCUUGAGGACUGGAGAGGAGACUGGAAUUUACGGUGUAGCAGUGAAAUGCGUAGAGAUCGUAAGGAAGACCAGUGGCGAAGGCGGGUCUCUGGACAGUUCCUGACACUGAGGCACGAAAGCGUGGGGAGCAAACAGG
rnacentral:rRNA from 1 species